AUGUUUUUGGCCUCCUCGUUUUUCGCGCCCACUUAUCAGUCUUCCCUUAUAAAUAAGCACGACCAGGUCUUUUCUCAUUCUCCCCCUUUCUAUCGUCUUCCUCCUCUCGAUGCCUCAGCGCCCGAACUCUGCCGCCGCCGUCGACCUUCACAUCUGCACCAGCCAAGGCCGCUGCAUCAACCUGUCCUGACCAGAGAACUGCGACGCACCUCCGCUGUUCAGCAGCUCCAGUAUGUAUUCCUCUUCUCGAAUAUCAGAUCUGCAUUAGGGUUUCUGCAUUCUUUCGUGUUCUUCAUAGUUCAUCACGGUUUCUUCGUAGUUCUUCCGCCGCGGUCUCCUUUGAUCCAAAAGUGGUACGAAACUCAUGCGGUAGUUGUUUUGCGUCUAUUUUCAAUACUAGCAGAUCCCUUUUGCUUGUAA
rnacentral:rRNA from 1 species